GUCUACGACUAUGCCACCCUGAACACACCCGAUCUCGUCUGAUCUCAGAAGCUAAGCAGGGUCAGGCCUGGUUAGUACUUGGAUGGGAGACUAAUGAACCCUUUGGGGAGAGGGGGUGGGUCC
ensembl:rRNA 5S_rRNA 5S ribosomal RNA